ACACUAUCGAGGCACGCUAGGACUGGCGACACAGGGAACCGUAUGCAACACAGACGCCUCAACAUCUAUUAUUAGGUUCAGCAAUAAUGAGAACGUAUAUAAUGCAGCUGGUUCUGCUCAUGAGCUUGGCCACGCUCUCAUUUUUGGACAUGAUGAUGAAGCCGGCAAUGUAGCCAGAUUCUGCCGAUGCCCUGGCUGCAAAGAAAGAUGCAUUAUGAGAUCAAAACUCUCAGAGUGCACAGAGUUCAGUAACUGCUCUGCUGCUGACUUCUAUGACAGGUUGAUGAUGGGAAAAUUAAAUUGUCUACUUAACAUGCCACCUGUAGCUACACUCACAUAUAAUCAGUGUGGGAAUGGUCUCUUGGAAGAAGACGAAGAAUGCGAUUGUGGUAGAGAUAAGGUAUGCCGUGACAAUGGCUGUUGCCAGUCCAAUUGUACGCUUGCGCCAGGAGUCACUUGUGUGUCAGGACAUUGCUGCACAAAAUGCCAGUUUGAUCUUGCAGGAAAGUUGUGUAGAGAUAUCGGUGAUGAGUGUGAUCUGCCAGAAUAUUGCAGCGGCGCGUCACAUCUGUGCCCAGAGGACGUGUUUAGACAAGACGGAAGUGCGUGUGGGAAAAGUGACAUCUGCUUCCAAGGGAAAUGCAAUAACCAUGACAGACAGUGCAAAGCUAUAUUUGGU